AAGUCGAGCGGAAACGAGUUAUCUGAACCUUCGGGGAACGAUAACGGCGUCGAGCGGCGGACGGGUGAGUAAUGCCUAGGAAAUUGCCUUGAUGUGGGGGAUAACCAUUGGAAACGAUGGCUAAUACCGCAUAAUGCCUACGGGCCAAAGAGGGGGACCUUCGGGCCUCUCGCGUCAAGAUAUGCCUAGGUGGGAUUAGCUAGUUGGUGAGGUAAUGGCUCACCAAGGCGACGAUCCCUAGCUGGUCUGAGAGGAUGAUCAGCCACACUGGAACUGAGACACGGUCCAGACUCCUACGGGAGGCAGCAGUGGGGAAUAUUGCACAAUGGGCGCAAGCCUGAUGCAGCCAUGCCGCGUGUAUGAAGAAGGCCUUCGGGUUGUAAAGUACUUUCAGCAGUGAGGAAGGGGGUGUCGUUAAUAGCGGCAUUUCUUGACGUUAGCUGCAGAAGAAGCACCGGCUAACUCCGUGCCAGCAGCCGCGGUAAUACGGAGGGUGCGAGCGUUAAUCGGAAUUACUGGGCGUAAAGCGCAUGCAGGUGGUUUGUUAAGUCAGAUGUGAAAGCCCGGGGCUCAACCUCGGAACUGCAUUUGAAACUGGCAAACUAGAGUACUGUAGAGGGGGGUAGAAUUUCAGGUGUAGCGGUGAAAUGCGUAGAGAUCUGAAGGAAUACCAGUGGCGAAGGCGGCCCCCUGGACAGAUACUGACACUCAGAUGCG
rnacentral:rRNA from 1 species